CUACAGUGAUGUUCUAUUUGAACUCUCUCACUGAAUAAUCCAUUGAAGACAAUUCAAUUAUUCUGAGUAGC